rnacentral:rRNA from 1 species
GACGAACGCUGGCGGCGUGCUUAACACAUGCAAGUCGAACGGAAAGGCCCUGCUUUUGUGGGGUGCUCGAGUGGCGAACGGGUGAGUAACACGUGAGUAACCUGCCCUUGACUUUGGGAUAACUUCAGGAAGCUGGGGCUAAUACCGGAUAGGAGCUCCUGCUGCAUGGUGGGGGUUGGAAAGUUUCGGCGGUUGGGGAUGGACUCGCGGCUUAUCAGCUUGUUGGUGGGGUAGUGGCUUACCAAGGCUUUGACGGGUAGCCGGCCUGAGAGGGUGACCGGCCACAUUGGGACUGAGAUACGGCCCAGACUCCUACGGGAGGCAGCAGUGGGGAAUAUUGCACAAUGGGCGGAAGCCGGAUGCAGCAACGCCGCGUGCGGGAUGACGGCCUUCGGGUUGUAAACCGCUUUCGCCUGUGACGAAGCGUGAGUGACGGUAAUGGGGAAAGAAGCACCGGCGAACUACGU